UGGGGAAUCUUGGACAAUGGGGGCAACCCUGAUCCAGCGAUGCCGCGUGUGUGAAGAAGGCCUGCGGGUUGUAAAGCACUUUUAGAGGGGAUGAGUAAGGACAGUACCCUCAGAAUAAGCCUCGGCUAACUACGUGCCAGCAGCCGCGGUAAAACGUAGGAGGCGAGCGUUAUCCGGAUUUACUGGGCGUAAAGCGCGUGCAGGUGGUACGGCAAGUUGGAUGUGAAAGCUUCCGGCUAAACUGGGAGAGGUCGUUCAAUACUGCCGAACUAGAGGAUGGGAGAGGAAGGUGGAAUUCCGAGUGUAGUGGUGAAAUGCGUAGAUAUUCGGAGGAACACCAGUGGCGAAAGCGGCCUUCUGGCCCAUUUCUGACACUCAGACGCGAAAGCUAGGGGAGCGAACGG
rnacentral:rRNA from 1 species